rnacentral:rRNA from 1 species
AUACGGAGGUGCAAGCGUUGUUCGGAAUUACUGGGCGUAAAGGGCGCGUAGGCGGCUUUGCAAGUCAGAUGUGAAAGCCCCGGGCUUAACUCGGGAAUUGCAUCUGAAACUGCUUAGCUUGAGUCCUGGAUGGGGUAGUGGAAUUCCCAGUGUAGCGGUGAAAUGCGUAGAUAUUGGGAGGAACACCAGUGGCGAAGGCGGGUUCCUGGCCCAUGACUGACGCUGAGGUGCG